rnacentral:tRNA from 1 species
GCGGCAUUAGUAUAAUGGCUAGUAUAUCUGCCUUCCAAGCAGAUGGUCCGAGUUCGAAUCUCGGAUGCCGCA